GGCCCUAUGGUUCAAUGGAUAGCACAGCCCCCUCCUAAGGGGCAGAUCCAGGUUCGAUUCCUGGUGGGGCCACCA
rnacentral:tRNA from 3 species